AGAUUUGAAACCUUUUCCAAAUACCCUUGGAUCCUCCUCAUCAUCUUCACUUUCCACAAGCAUCUCUUCUGGAAAUAGUGGUUGUUGUUCAGAUGAUUCUUCUACUUCUAAAUCUAGAUCUUCAUCAAGUAGCAAGUCAAGCCAGCUGGUUUUGGGGUAUCCACAGGGCUCAAACUGGGAGGUUGAUGAUGAUGGGAUGGAAUUGAUGAUGGAACUUACAGUUUCAGCAGAGAUUGUGCCCCCUACAAUGGUGUAUGGUUUGAUGUACUUCAAACGCCAUGGAAUUUCUCUGUUCUGUACAAUUGGGAUCUGAUAGGGGAGCCCAGAGUCAACCUCAUCUUGAUAGGCGGAGGGCAAUACCACCCUAGUAUGGUGGUAGUCAUGGCCUGUUGGAGUAUCCUUUUGGUGGCUGGAACCAGAUGAAGGAAUAAUUCUCUCUUUGGGGUUGAAUAGAGGAAAUCCUUCAGUGGACAAAUGGGGAGAAGACACAGGUUAUUUCCAAAAGCAUCUUUAGUUCAGGUCCCUCCAAAAGACCUCUGUCACCACAGCAAGUCAGUGCUAUUGCCAUGCCCACCUCAUCGAAUAGCACCAUUGUGGGAAAGAGAGUUCCUUCCCAGAAAUGAAAGCAGAACCAGUCUUAAAGAGCAGCCCAGCUCCACCCAAUUGCCACUUUAUCCUUAUGCCAGGGCUGUUCCUACUUUGCCUUGUCUUAAUCAUCUGACCAAAAAUUCUAAGUCAUUGCCAUAUUUGAAAUACCAGGGGAUAACUAAUGCAUCUUCAUCCCAACACCAUAUUAACUCCUCUGUCUUCUCUUUGACUAACCCUGAAUUCAGAGGAAGGGCAAAUGCAUCUCUGAGAACAACUUCUAAACUUGUUAAGCCUCCAUUUAGCUCAAAACACAAAGUAGAGACUCCUCUAGUUUUUGAGCGCUUUCCCAAGAUCUCAACAAGCUGGAACAGUCAAAAGAAGGAGCCAACACACCCCAAACAACAGCCAUCACCUCUCCCACUCUGCGAGAACAGGUCUGAAGAACUCCCACAACUCAAACAGAAGCCAUCCUAUCUCCAGCUCCCUGACCACAAGGAUGAGGAACUCCCACAACACAGACAGAAGCCCCCAACGCCGCCAAUAUCCAACCACCAGGAUGAGGCAAUACCAUUGAUUACCUGUAAGAGCAAGACUAUGGGUGACCCUUCCACAUGCCCUGACUCUCAGGUCAAUGACAGACCUGUCCCAGCAAGUUUGAGUCACUCAGCUGAAACACCUCAGAACCUUAAGAACAAUAUCAGAGUUUUAACUGUUAUGGUGAGCAGAGAAGGAACCAACCUCUGGCCCAAAUGUCUAAUUCUACAAUCACCCCAUUCUGACCACCACCAUUCUUUAGAAGAAGCACCAGACAUUGAUUAUAUGAACCAAGUUACAAAGCAUGCCCUCGAGGAAACAGCUCUGCCUUUUCUAAAAGGCAACCAGCAAUCUGGACCCUGCACUUUACCUUCAUCCUUGCCCAAAUAUGUCAACAGGGGCACAAGCACAGAUUUCCCCUGGCCUCCGUUCAAUGUGAUGGUUGCAAAUAUUACAUCAUCAGAUCCCAACCACCAGGCCAGGGUAAUUAUGAGACAAUUAAGAGGUUUCACACCAAGUACCAAAUCAGUCUCUGAUUCUUACCUAUCUCUGGGUGCAUGGAGAACCUCUGGGUCCUUCCCAUUUGCUGAACAUAUAGCUGAGGCUUCACCAGGCUCUGAUUACAAGGCCGAAGACACUACUGGGCUACCAUUACAUUCUAAGCACAAAGUUACGAUUCCUCCUCUAGGAGUUGAUCAUUUUAGCAAGGUUGCACCAGAUCUAAGUCCUCAGACUGCAAUUCCCAUGGGCUCUGAACAUAGAACUUCCACCUCAGUGGUCUUGAGUGAUGGGCCUGAAGCAGCACCUGGUUCCAAGACACAGGACGUAAAAACGCUGUCUCCUCCCAUCAGCCAGACUGAAUACCUACUUUAUCCUGGACUUUUGGAUAAGGAUUCACUGGCACUAGAGUCUAAGUUCAGAGGCCCCAUUGACCUUGGCCAGAAAGUUGAGACUUCGAUAUGCUCCGAUAACCAGGUCUCCUCUUCACUCUACCCUAACCAACAGGCACAGGUUAUACAGAGCCCAGACUGCCAAAAUGUAGUAACUCUAAGCCCUGAUGACUAUGUACAAUAUCUAAAUAUUUUUGAUCUUCAAAAGAAAGAAACACUUGUCCCAAUACUCCAGAAUGAUCUUGAAUUGGGUGGUCCUAGUCACUACCAAACUCAAAUUGUACCAGACUCUUAUGAGAUGAUACUUCUACUGAGUGAUAAAACCAAGGCCAUACCUCCACUCAGUCAUGACCACACAACUGAGCCUGAAUCACAGUCUAAGAAGGCCACUCAACCACAUGACACAAAAAAUCAAGCAGUGCCUCAGUUAUGCCCAGAUUAUGAGAUGGUUCCCCCUCAAACCACUGAAGAUCACCCAAGGGAGGCUAGGCCUAAUACAAGUGAACAAGUCUCACAUCAAACAGAAGUAGACUUCUGGAAAAUAACGCCACAGGAACCAGACCACCAGGUCAUAACUCCACCAUCACAAGAUAAUAGAGAGACAACUUCACCAGGCAUAGACCAAGAGGUCAUAACUCCACCAGGGAAAGAUGACAGCAAGGCACCUUCACUGAACAUAGACAGCUUGGUCAUAACUCCACCAGGGAAAGAUGACAGUGAGGUACCUUCAUGGAAUAUAGACAGCCUGGUCAUAACUCCACCAAUGCAAGAUGACAGUGAGGCACCUUCACUGAACAUAGACAACCUAGUCAUAACUCCACCAGGGAAAGAUGACAGUGAGGCACCUUCACUGAACAUAGACAACCUGGUCAUAACUCCACCAAUGCAAGAUGACAGUGAGGCACCUUUCCUAAACAUAGACAACCUGGUCAUAACCCCACCAAUGCAAGAUGACAGUGAGGCACCUUCACUGAACAUAGACAACCUGUUCAUAACUCCACCAGCAAAAGAUGAUAGUGAGGCACUUUCGCUGAACAUAGACAGCCUGGUCAUAACGACACCAAGGCAAGAUGACAGCGAGACACCUUCACUGAACAUAGACAACCUGGUCAUAACUCCACUGAAGCAGGAUGACAGUGAAACGCCAUGGCAGGAUGAAGCUAAAACACCUUCAUUGGUCAUGGAUGGCCAAAUCAUAACUCCACCAUGGGAGGAUGAUGGGGGGAAAUAUUCACCAGGCAUAGACUGCCAGGUCAAAACUCCACCAUGGCAGGAAGACACUGAGAUACCUUUACAAGGUAUAACCUCACCAUGUCAGGAUGAUAGUGAGACGCUUUCACUGGGCAUAGACCACCAAGUCAUAACUCCACCAUGGCAGGAUGACACUGAGACACCUUCAUUGGGCAAAGAAUGCCAAGUUAUAACUCCACCAUGUCAGGAUGAUGAUGCAGCUCCUUCACUUGGCACAGACCACCAGGUCAUAACUACAUUAUGGCAGGAUAAUAGUAAGAUGUCUUCACUGGGCAUAGACCAUCUCAUAAUAAAUCCGCCAUGGCAGGAUGAAGGUGAGAUACCUUCUCUGGGCAUAGAUCACCAGGUCAUAACUCCACCACGGCAGGAUGACAGUGAAACACCUUCACUGGACAUAGAGCACCAGAUCAUAACACCACCAAAACAGGAUGAAGGUGAGAUACCCUUUCUAGACAUAAAUCACCAACCACCAGACCAUAAAUACACCAUGAAUGUGUCUCCUGGGUCCCAAAUGGCUGUCACCAUGACAAGGAAAUGAACCAUCUUUUUGAAGCAGAAAUGUUAGUCAUGCCAAUACCUCUGCCAGGUUCUAAAGAGGAUAUGGGCUUGAAAUUUGUCCUGAGAGUGCCCCAUAUACCCAUUUCUUUAUUCAAUCAGUUUUUCCAAGAGCCCCAAAAUCAAUGUCAAUUACAUAGUCAAUUAUCAAACUUUCCAUCACCCUCACAAACAGCCCUCAAUGAGUCCCAUGUGCCUGCAAAGGCUGAGUUGCUUGAUUAUUCAAAAAAUGAUUACACUUUGGAAAUUAAAACAUCUAACAAUCAAGAGCAACUCACAAAAGAGAUGCCCAUAAGGAGAGAAAGUAAAGAAAAUGAAAAGUCAAGGGAACAUGUAAAGAAUUUCAAAUCUCUGCUUGAGAAAUUUCAAAAGCAAAGACAAAAUUAAAUUAACAUCUUUUUCUUUGAAAAUGAUUGUGUGCCUUUGAAAUUUAAGUCUGAUUUUGUGUCAUAUGUUAUGUAGUUAAAGAGGGACACAUUGAUUCUGUCUGCUCAUGACAUAAUCCAGCAUAGUCCCCUUCAUAAGCAUUCAGAGGGAAGGGACUCUAUGUUCUCUCUCCCUCUCAUACAAUAUUUUAACUUCAAGUUAAAUUAUAUUCAGAGUGAAGGGAGCUCCACAGGACAGAAAAGCCAUGUUUUUCUGCCUUUUCUUCCCCUCUCACAAUAAGGCUCAGUAAAGGACACCCAGAGUAUGUAUUCACCUUUUUUAUCCUUUUUAUCCUUUCUUACCCUAUAUCACUCAUAAAACUCAGCAUUCUGUAUUUCAAUAUUUCAAAGAUUCACAAGAUCCAUGAUAUCAAUAUCAACAUUUCCUCAAACAAUACAUUACAAAUUCAGCCAAUUUUAAUGGUAGCUGGUUCUUAUCACCUUCCAUUUGGGUUUAUUAAAAAGCUGUCUUUUGGCUUAGAACUUUUUGAUAAGCUCUCCAGAGAGAGGAGCUCUUUCUGACAUACUCCAAAUCUCUGGGUGACCAUUUAAAAUCUUUCCAGCUUAGUGUAGGUCCUACCAGAUCAGACAGUCUCUGAGCCCCAUGCUCAUGUCUCCAUAUAAUGAGACAAAAGAGUGGGACUUGGUGGAAGCAUGUUUCAGUGGGAUAUAGAAAAUAGAGAGGAAUAUGAAACUCUGUUGUGGAGGUCAUUCUUGUUGAACCAUCUUCCUAAAUGGUCUCUCUUAGUCCUUAAUAGCACUAUUCUUUAUAUAUGCUAAAAACUCACUUACAUUAUGGAGUGUUACUUCCUGUCUCUGAAGCCUGGAUUCACAACUUCCUUGCAGUUUUCUGCAUUCCUCUGUCUCUGGCAGAACUUGACAAACUAAAAUGAAUUCUUCCUUUUAAAACUUGAAAAACACCAUAGUUUCAAUUUUUACAUAUGUAUGUUUCUUAACCCAACAUCAUUGACAAAGUAAAGGUAGAAUAUGUUAAUACAGGAUGUUUCACAGGUCUCUGGCUAAACUCAAAAUCACCUCAUCAAAUGCAAACUCGGGCUAGAAGAGCAGCAAACGCAAAGAUGGCAGAAGUUAAAAGUUUCCAUCAUCUAAAUCUUGGCUCGCCAAAGCUGGUGAAAUUAAUGUUAUAGACUUGUCCAUCCCAGAAUAAAUUCGGUUAAAUCAAAGCCCA
rnacentral:lncRNA from 1 species